AGUGAACGCUGGCGGUAGGCCUAACACAUGCAAGUCGAACGGCAGCACAGUAAGAGCUUGCUCUUACGGGUGGCGAGUGGCGGACGGGUGAGGAAUACAUCGGAAUCUACUUUUUCGUGGGGGAUAACGUAGGGAAACUUACGCUAAUACCGCAUACGACCUACGGGUGAAAGCAGGGGAUCUUCGGACCUUGCGCGAUUGAAUGAGCCGAUGUCGGAUUAGCUAGUUGGCGGGGUAAAGGCCCACCAAGGCGGCGAUCCGCAGCUGGUGUGAGAGGCUGGUCAGCCACAAUGGAAGUGGGACACGGUCCAGACUCCUAAGGGAGGCAGCAGUCGGGAAUAGUGGGCAAUAGGCGGAAGCCUUAUCCAGCCAUACCGCGUGGGUGAAAGAGGCCUUCGGGGUGGAAAGCCCGUUUGUUGGGAAAGAAAAGCAGCAGGUUAAUACCCCGCUGUUCUGACGGUACCCAAAGAAUAAGCACCGGCUAACUUCGUG
rnacentral:rRNA from 1 species